rnacentral:rRNA from 1 species
AUGGAUUGGGAUCUCAAGAUGCCGGGCUCUUGGGACCUGGCCGAGCUGGAGCACGACGGGGUGCCGGCCAUGGUCGCUCCCGCCGCGGCGGGCAUCACCGCCGCGGCCGCGCGCGGGCCGCCGGGCCGCCCCGAGUGCUCGGUCGACCUCAAGCUGGGCGGGCUGGGGGAGUUCGGCCCCGCGGCGGACGGCGCGAUGAAGCAGCAGCCGCCCGUGGCGACGGCGGCGGCGAAUGGCCCGGCGGCGUCCUUGUCGGCGUCGGCGUCGAACGCCGCGGCGGUGGUGCCGUCGGCGAGCCCGCUGAAGCGGCCGCGCCCGGGGGCCGGCGGCGGCGCGGGGGCGGGGCACUGCCCGUCGUGCGCCGUGGACGGCUGCAAGGCCGACCUGAGCAAGUGCCGCGACUACCACCGGCGGCACAAGGUGUGCGAGGCGCACUCCAAGACGCCCCUCGUCGUCGUCGCCGGCCGCGAGAUGCGCUUCUGCCAGCAGUGCAGCAGAUUCCACUUGCUUGCGGAGUUUGAUGAGGCCAAGCGUAGCUGUAGAAAGCGCCUUGAUGGGCACAACAGGCGCCGCAGGAAGCCACAGGUUGACAGCAUGAAUUCUGGGAGCUUUAUGACAACCCAACAAGGUCUGUAUUCAAAUGCAGGGACAAGGUUCGCGUCCUUCUCCGCUCCAAGGCCGGAGCCAAGCUGGUCCGGGAUCAUCAAAUCCGAGGACAGCAAUCCAUACUACACCAGCACUCACCAGAUCAAUUUCGCCGGCUCUUCGUCGUCCUACUCCAAGGAAGGCCGGCGCUUCCCCUUCCUGCACGAAGGAGACCAGAUGAGCUUCAGCACGGGCGCGACGGCCCUCGAGAUCCCCCCCGUGUGCCAGCCUCUCCUCAAGGCCGUCGCGCCGCCGCCGCCGCCGCCCGAGAGCAGCAGCAGCAACAAGAUGUUCUCCGAUGGACAGUUGACGCACGUGCUCGACUCCGACUGUGCUCUCUCUCUUCUGUCAUCCCCGGCCAACUCCUCCAGCGUCGACGUCAGCCGGAUGGUCCGUCCAAGCGAGCACAUCCCCUCCGUCCCCAACCUGCAGCAGUUCGGCAGCUCCUCCUGGUUCGCCUGCUCCCAGGCCUCCAGCGCCGCCACCGGCUUCGCCGCCUUCGCCGGCGGCAUGGACGGCGAGCAGCUCAACGCCUGCGGCGCGCUGGUCCCGAGCUCCAACGACAACGAGAUGAACUGCCACGGGAUCUUCCACGUCGGCGCCGAUGGCUCCUCCGAGGGCACGUCGCCGUCCCUCCCUUUCUCGUGGCAGUAG